GACGAACGCUGGCGGCGUGCCUAAUACAUGCAAGUAGAACGCACAGUUUAUACCGUAGCUUGCUACACCAUAGACUGUGAGUUGCGAACGGGUGAGUAACGCGUAGGUAACCUGCCUGGUAGCGGGGGAUAACUAUUGGAAACGAUAGCUAAUACCGCAUAAUAUUGAUUAUUGCAUGAUAAUUAAUUGAAAGGUGCAAUUGCACCACUACCAGAUGGACCUGCGUUGUAUUAGCUAGUAGGUGAGGUAACGGCUCACCUAGGCGACGAUACAUAGCCGACCUGAGAGGGUGAUCGGCCACACUGGGACUGAGACACGGCCCAGACUCCUACGGGAGGCAGCAGUAGGGAAUCUUCGGCAAUGGACGAAAGUCUGACCGAGCAACGCCGCGUGAGUGAAGAAGGUUUUCGGAUCGUAAAGCUCUGUUGUAAGAGAAGAACGGGUGUGAGAGUGGAAAGUUCACACUGUGACGGUAUCUUAACAGAAAGGGACGGCUAACUACGUG
rnacentral:rRNA from 1 species